UACGUAGGUGGCAAGCGUUAUUCGGAAUUAUUGGGCGUAAAACGUGAGCAGGCUGUCUUGAUAGUCCAAGGUUAAAUACUGCAGCUCAACUGUAGUUCGCUUUGGAAACUUCGAGACUAGAGUGCGGGAGAGGUAAGUGGAAUUCCAUAUGUAGCGGUAAAAUGCUUAGAUAUAUGGCGGAACACCAGUGGCGAAGGCGGCUUACCAGCCCGUUUCUGACGCUCAGUCACGAAAGCGUGG
rnacentral:rRNA from 1 species